rnacentral:rRNA from 1 species
AGUGAACGCUGGCGGUAGGCCUAACACAUGCAAGUCGAACGGCAGCACAGUAAGAGCUUGCUCUUACGGGUGGCGAGUGGCGGACGGGUGAGGAAUACAUCGGAAUCUACUUUUUCGUGGGGGAUAACGUAGGGAAACUUACGAUAAUACCGCAUACGACCUACGGGUGAAAGCAGGGGAUCUUCGGCCCUUGCGCGAUUGAAUGAGCCGAUGUCGGAUUAGCUAGUUGGCGGGGUAAAGGCCCACCAAGGCGACGAUCCGUAGCUGGUCUGAGAGGAUGAUCAGCCACACUGGAACUGAGACACGGUCCAGACUCCUACGGGAGGCAGCAGUGGGGAAUAUUGGACAAUGGGCGCAAGCCUGAUCCAGCCAUACCGCGUGGGUGAAGAAGGCCUUCGGGUUGUAAAGCCCUUUUGUUGGGAAAGAAAAGCAGCAGGUUAAUACCCCGCUGUUCUGACGGUACCCAAAGAAUAAGCACCGGCUAACUUCGUG